rnacentral:rRNA from 1 species
AGCUGCUACGGCAGUGAAGUCAUUGAUGCCAUGCUUCCAGGAAAAGCCUCUAAGCUUCAGAUAGUCAGGAAUCGUACCCCAAACCGACACAGGUGGUCGGGUAGAGAAUACCAAGGCGCUUGAGAGAACUCGGGUGAAGGAACUAGGCAAAAUGGUACCGUAACUUCGGGAGAAGGUACGCUCUUGAUGGUGAAGUCCCUCGCGGAUGGAGCUGACGAGAGUCGCAGAUACCAGGUGGCUGCAACUGUUUAUUAAAAACACAGCACUGUGCAAAAUCGCAAGAUGACGUAUACGGUGUGACGCCUGCCCGGUGCCGGAAGGUUAAUUGAUGGGGUUAGCGCAAGCGAAGCUCUUGAUCGAAGCCCCGGUAAACGGCGGCCGUAACUAUAACGGUCCUAAGGUAGCGAAAUUCCUUGUCGGGUAAGUUCCGACCUGCACGAAUGGCGUAAUGAUGGCCACGCUGUCUCCACCCGAGACUCAGUGAAAUUGAAAUCGCUGUGAAGAUGCAGUGUACCCGCGGCUAGACGGAAAGACCCCGUGAACCUUUACUACAGCUUGGCACUGAACAUUGAACCUACAUGUGUAGGAUAGGUGGGAGGCUAUGAAGACGUGACGCCAGUUGCGUUGGAGCCGUCCUUGAAAUACCACCCUUGUAUGUUUGAUGUUCUAACGUUGGCCCCUAAUCGGGGUUGCGGACAGUGCCUGGUGGGUAGUUUGACUGGGGCGGUCUCCUCCCAAAGAGUAACGGAGGAGCACGAAGGUGGGCUAAUCACGGUUGGACAUCGUGAGGUUAGUGCAAUGGCAUAAGCCCGCUUAACUGCGAGAAUGACGGUUCGAGCAGGUGCGAAAGCAGGUCAUAGUGAUCCGGUGGUUCUGUAUGGAAGGGCCAUCGCUCAACGGAUAAAAGGUACUCCGGGGAUAACAGGCUGAUACCGCCCAAGAGUUCAUAUCGACGGCGGUGUUUGGCACCUCGAUGUCGGCUCAUCACAUCCUGGGGCUGAAGUCGGUCCCAAGGGUAUGGCUGUUCGCCAUUUAAAGUGGUACGCGAGCUGGGUUUAGAACGUCGUGAGACAGUUCGGUCCCUAUCUGCCGUGGGCGUUGGAAGAUUGAAGGGGGCUGCUCCUAGUACGAGAGGACCGGAGUGGACGAACCUCUGGUGUUCGGGUUGUGUCGCCAGACGCAUUGCCCGGUAGCUAAGUUCGGAAUUGAUAAGCGCUGAAAGCAUCUAAGCGCGAAGCGAGCCCUGAGAUGAGUCUUCCCUGAUACUUUAAGUAUCCUAAAGGGUUGUUCGAGACUAGAACGUUGAUAGGCAGGGUGUGUAAGCGUUGUGAGGCGUUGAGCUAACCUGUACUAAUUGCCCGUGAGGCUUAACCAUACAACACCCA